rnacentral:lncRNA from 1 species
GGAACAGCUCCAUCUUUAUUCAGUUUCUCUAGCCAACUGAGACGCAAGGUGCCAGCUGGCUGAUCUUCAACGAUGGAAAUAAUGUGUAAGUACAAAGAUGAAGUUGUUAGAGAUGAAAGUGUGGUGUGUGUUAAUUUAUAUUUAAAAUUCACUGGAGGUAUUAUUUUAGAGUAUUAGCUGACACAAGGCAAAUUUAAAUUUCUUACAAGGAAGUCACACAAAAGUAGAGCCCUCCAUUCCCAACAUCUCCGAGAAUUCUGGCAUGCCAAGUAAACUGUUCCUGUGAGAAGGAGACAUCUAGAGAGAAUUCUCUUUUGGAGGACAGCUGAAAUAAAUAGCAAUAUGUAGCAAGAUGAGGGAUGGUAAGAGGUGCAGCCUCAGAGUUCAGCUAGGAGAGCAGUGGAGCUGUUGAGAACUUUGAAAUGAAGCCAGGCAUCAUUUACCUCUCCAUCUCAUCCAAUGAGUAGGGUAGCCAAUGGUUCAAUGAGAUGAGCAGGAACCCUGAUGAAUGUGGGAAGGGUCUUUCCCUACUUUCCUUCAAUACAGCUUAGGCUCAGAUUAACACUUGUGUACUCCCCGGAUUCUCUUUGAUAAGCUUCGUGUUACAAGUACUAUAUACUACAUAUAUAGUUUAGAUUCCCCCUUAAGUGCUAUUUGCUUGACUUUGAUUCUUGAGAAUAAUUCUCCAUAUUUAUUCUCAAUGGAAACAGCAGUUAUUUAUCAGAUAUGAACUUAUUUGCAGCUGCCUAACCUCCCAUCUGAACCUCAUCCAACCCGCACUGCACAGUGUUUUAUAGAGAAAACAGUCUAUUGCACAGGACUAGGGAGGAGUAGUUGCUCAUACCUCUGGGCUUAGGAAAAAGUAGUUUCUAAUACCCCUCUCCCAAUUCUCUCCUGUGAAAGCUCAUAGACUCUGCAGUCAGAUGGUUGGAUGCUUGCUCCAAAACAAGGAAUCCCGGGCAACUACAGCAAAGGCAGGAAGGACUUCUCCAUGCAGAUGACUGCCCGCACUAGGACUUCUCCAUGCAGAUGACUGCCCGCACUAGGACUUCUCCAUGCAGACGACUGCCCACACUAGGACUUCUCCAUGCAGACGACUGCCCGCACUAGGACUUCUCACAAGU